ACAACAAGGAAGAGAGUCUCGGGCACAGAGUAAAACAGUAAUACAUAAAACUCAUGACAAGAACUUCAACAGAAACACAGAUUGUAACCAACUUGGUGUCUUUGUCACGUAAGCAUUUUCUUUGAACUCAGAGGACACUUGAAAGAUGGAGGAGSAAUAUUUUACAUCAAGAUAGCUAACCUUUGCUGAGACUGUUUAUGMAUGUAUACAAUUGCAUAACACAGUUAAGAACCAUUUGUAGUUGAAUUCAGUUGUGACUUUAAUUUUAUGACUGUUCUUUCCUAAAACCACUUGUGCUGAGUGGCUUAGAUUUCUUCU